GCAGGCUCUGUAACCAGAACAUUGACAAGACAGAAUGUGAGGAGCUGAUUAAGUAUCUUUAACAGCCUCCAUUCAAAAACAGGCUGUUCAGGUCUCUCUUAACUCCAUUAAUGGAAAAAAAAGUCCUACUCAGCCCAGCUCUCUACAGGCACAGAAGCAGUGAAGUCAGUGCAGUGAACCCCAGUGGACUGGCAGAAGAAACUUCAAAGUGCUGCUGCAGCACCCACCCAGCUUGCUAAGCAAAAAGAUGAAGAACCACCUCCAGUGAAGCUAAGUAAGGAAAAACAGUAUACAGGCAGAUUCCUUACCUUGACAGCAGCCUGCUUACAUUGCUUCUCAUCCAGACAGUCUCCUGCUACUUUAGCCAGGACAGGAUCUAGUGGAUUGUCCUUCAGGUCCAGCCACUUCAGGUUCUGCAGAAAGGAAUAAUAAAGGGGAGGCUUUAACAGCACAGCAGACUUGCAAUUUAGAGAUCCUUAGCAGAAGCAAAGUACUAUUUUCUUUUCACAUGAACAAGAACACGUAUGAGAGACAAACAGAGGGCUUGUGCAGAGGCUUUAUCAGUAGAUGUGAGAUGAUUUCCACUGAGCUGAGGUGCAGAGCCAGCUGGAUUUUAGAAUGGGUAGUCAGCAGGAUGGAUGCUUUACCAGAGCAAUCAACUUGAGAAGGAUCACAAGACCCUGGGCUGCAUCCCAAAGCUUUACAUAACUGCACAGCAAACAGUUUUACCUUGAGUUGUGCAAAGCUGACUGGCAGGGUGACCAAACGGUUGUUCAGAAGGUCCAGGUGCUGCAGAUUGACCAGGCGGCCAAAGUCCAAGGGCAGCUGUUGAAGCCGAUUUUUACUCAAGUCCAGUUUCACCAGAUGCAUCAAACUGCAGAAGUCUGACUAAAACCCAAACACAAAAACCCAGAAAAAACGUGUCAGCACCUUUACAGAAGAACCUCGGCAGGGAGCAUGUGGAGAUAGCCUGCACCUUACAUAAGCCACAAAUACUUGAGUUACUAGAGAACUGUGACAAAAAUAACUCAUUCUCCUUUUUUGCCUCAAAAGAUGGAGAUGGAAAACAGUGGGAUAGGUAAGACAGACAGACAAGGUGAUGUGUGGCCACACUACAGAAACAAACCUGAGUGUCCUCUGCUGAUGAAACGGGUACGCAUUCACUUAGGGAUCCAGGAAGACACUGCAGUCUUCAUGCAGUGCAACCCUCUUCUCUUUCCUGCCCCAGCCAAAACCACCACCAGCACUGACCCGACCGCAUGGACAGAAGAGCUAUUCGGCCACCCCAGGGUGAAGCCAGCUCCACACCUGCUGAACCUUUACAGAAGCACCAGUUAUAUUUUCUAAAUAUCUCCCAGCAGCCUCAUCCCCAGAAAGUUUUCCUAGCACCUUACCGGCAAGGACAUGAGGUUGUUACAGGACAAAUCCAAUAUAGUAGCUUUUGGAAGAGUGGCCUGAAAGAGAAAUAAAGCACUAAAUGAACCUA